CCUACGGGAGGCAGCAGUGGGGAAUAUUGGACAAUGGGGGGAACCCUGAUCCAGCGACGCCGCGUGAGUGAAGAAGUAUUUCGGUAUGUAAAGCUCUAUCAGCAGGGAAGAAAGAAAUGACGGUACCUGACUAAGAAGCCCCGGCUAACUACGUGCCAGCAGCCGCGGUAAUACGUAGGGGGCAAGCGUUAUCCGGAUUUACUGGGUGUAAAGGGAGCGUAGACGGCGAUGCAAGUCUGAAGUGAAAGGCGGGGGCCCAACCCCCGGACUGCUUUGGAAACUGUAUGGCUGGAGUGCAGGAGAGGUAAGUAGAAUUCCUAGUGUAGCGGUGAAAUGCGUAGAGAUUAGGAGGAACACCAGUGGCGAAGGCGGCUUACUGGACUGUAACUGACGUUGAGGCUCGAAAGCGUGGGGAGCAAACAGGAUUAGAUACCCUUGUAGUC
rnacentral:rRNA from 1 species